ensembl:lincRNA Gm42952 predicted gene 42952
UCUGACCCAUAUCUGCAUUUUAUUGAACAAAUGAAUUUGGCUACUAAAGACUCCGUGAUUUCAGACUGAGGUCCGCCUCCAAGGGUCUGAUCUGUGUCAGCUAAAACCAGAGCUGGUGGUGACCAACUACAUCGAUGAACUCGCUCCCUCCUUCUCUCCCUUUCUCCAUCCUUCGGAGAUCUAAUGGCACAGUUCCAGCUGUGAGACGUGGCACCCUUGAGCUUCCUUGUUACAAGCUUGGAGAGAUAGCAUCAGGGUGCCAAGCAGGAUCCUGGGAUGACAUCUUAGAUAUUCCUUCACCAAGAAUAGAUAACAGAGCAGGAACCAAAAAUUUCCUGGUGCCUCACUCCAAGUUGCAAUAUCAGCUCUUGCCAUAAAAAUAGGCUCUUCCCGGGCCCUGAUGGGCUCUGUCUCAUCAGAUGCCAUGUAGGAAAGGAAAGCCCAGCAGCUACAGGACCAAGAGCUGAGUCAUUCUCCAAGACAGAGCAAGCGAAGAAUGCUCCUGCCUGUGGAUGGGACCACACCCCUCUGCUCAUGUCAGCAAGCCCAUAGCUGCAGGACCGCUGGUAACCAUGGGAUGUUCAGAAGCCAUUUGCAACUGAGUCAGAGAGGGAGGGAAUGGAGACUCAUGCUUAUGAGCAGCUUGUGUCAUGCAGGGGGUUGUCAUGUUCCCAGUAAACACACAACAAGGAAACUAUACCCUAAAGCCAUACUCUUUCCUUGCCAAAAAGC